ACAAGUAUUGAAGGUGAUGCCUGCCCGGUGACCUGAGGUUUAACGGCCGCGGUAUCCUAACCGUGCAAAGGUAGCGCAAUCAAUUGUCCCAUAAAUCGGGACUAGUAUGAAUGGCUAAACGAGGUCUUAACUGUCUCUUACAGGCAAUCGGUGAAAUUGAUCUCCCUGUGCAAAAGCAGGGAUAACCCCAUAAGACGAGAAGACCCUGUGGAACUUUAAAACCAGCAGCCACCCUAGGUUAUCUACACCCCCACUUGGGCUCACACUUUCCAGGCAUCUGGCUGAUGUUUUUCGGUUGGGGCGACCUUGGAGAAAAACAAAUCCUCCAAAAAUUAGACCAUCCCUCUAGACUGAGAGCGACCCCUCAACGUGCUAAUAGCAACCAGACCCAAUACAAUUGAUCAAUGGACCAAGCUACCCCAGGGAUAACAGCGCAAUCUCCCCCGAGAGUCCAUAUCGACGAGGAGGUUUACGACCUCGAUGUUGGAUC
rnacentral:rRNA from 1 species